rnacentral:rRNA from 1 species
CAAAGUUAAUAAGGGCGCACGGUGGAUGCCUUGGCACUAAGAGCCGAUGAAGGACGUGACUAACGACGAUAUUCUAGGGGGAGCAGUAAGUACGCAUUGAUCCCUAGGUCUCCGAAUGGGGAAACCCAGCUGCUACUAGCAGUUAUUCAUGAGUGAAUACAUAGCUCAUGUAAAGGUAACGCAGAGAACUGAAACAUCUAAGUACCUGCAGGAAGAGAAAGUAAAAACGAUUUCGUAAGUAGCGGCGAGCGAACGCGAAGAAGGGCAAACCAAGAAGCUUGCUUCUUGGGGUUGUAGGACUGCAACGUGGACUUAAGCAUUAUAGUCGAAUAACCUGGGAAGGUUAAUCAAAGAGGGUAAUAAUCCCGUAGACGAAAUAGCGCUUAUACCUAGCAGUAUCCUGAGUAGGGCUGGACACGCGAAAUCCAGUUUGAAUCCGGGAGGACCAUCUCCCAACCCUAAAUACUCCUUAGUGACCGAUAGUGAACCAGUACCGUGAGGGAAAGGUGAAAAGAACCCCGAGAGGGGAGUGAAAUAGCACCUGAAACCGUGUGCCUACAAGAAGUUCGAGCCCGUUAAUGGGUGAGAGCGUGCCUUUUGUAGAAUGAACCGGCGAGUUACGUUAUGAUGCGAGGUUAAGUUGAAGAGACGGAGCCGUAGGGAAACCGAGUCUGAAUAGGGCGAAUUAGUAUCAUGACGUAGACCCGAAACCAUGUGACCUACCCAUGAGCAGGUUGAAGGUGCGGUAAGACGCACUGGAGGACCGAACCAGGGCACGUUGAAAAGUGCUUGGAUGACUUGUGGGUAGCGGAGAAAUUCCAAACGAACUUGGAGAUAGCUGGUUCUCUCCGAAAUAGCUUUAGGGCUAGCGUCGACAUUAAGAUUCUUGGAGGUAGAGCACUGUUUGGGUGAGGGGUCCAUCCCGGAUUACCAAUCUCAGAUAAACUCCGAAUGCCAAUGAAUUAUGGUCGGCAGUCAGACUGCGAGUGCUAAGAUCCGUAGUCGAAAGGGAAACAGCCCAGACCACCAGCUAAGGUCCCAAAAUAAUUGUUAAGUGGAAAAGGAUGUGGGGUUGCACAGACAACUAGGAUGUUAGCUUAGAAGCAGCUAUUCAUUCAAAGAGUGCGUAAUAGCUCACUAGUCGAGUGACCCUGCGCCGAAAAUGUACCGGGGCUAAAACAUAUUACCGAAGCUGUGGAUACCUUUAUAGGUAUGGUAGGAGAGCGUUCUAUGUGCGAAGAAGGUGUACAGUGAGGAGUGCUGGAGCGCAUAGAAGUGAGAAUGCCGGUAUGAGUAGCGAAAGACAGGUGAGAAUCCUGUCCACCGUAAGACUAAGGUUUCCAGGGGAAGGCUCGUCCGCCCUGGGUUAGUCGGGACCUAAGGAGAGACCGAAAGGUGUAUCCGAUGGACAACAGGUUGAUAUUCCUGUACUAGAGUAUGUAGUGAUGGAGGGACGCAGUAGGCUAACUAAAGCAGACGAUUGGAAGAGUCUGUCUAAGCAGUGAGGUGUGAUAUGAGUCAAAUGCUUAUAUCUAUAACAUUGAGCUGUGAUGGGGAGCGAAGUUUAGUAGCGAAGUUAGUGACGUCACACUGCCAAGAAAAGCUUCUAGCGUUUAAACAUACUCUACCCGUACCGCAAACCGACACAGGUAGUCGAGGCGAGUAGCCUCAGGUGAGCGAGAGAACUCUCGUUAAGGAACUCGGCAAAAUGACCCCGUAACUUCGGGAGAAGGGGUGCUGACUUUAAGUCAGCCGCAGUGAAUAGGCCCAAGCAACUGUUUAUCAAAAACACAGCUCUCUGCUAAACCGCAAGGUGAUGUAUAGGGGGUGACGCCUGCCCGGUGCUGGAAGGUUAAGAGGAGUGCUUAGACGUAAGUCGAAGGUAUGAAUUGAAGCCCCAGUAAACGGCGGCCGUAACUAUAACGGUCCUAAGGUAGCGAAAUUCCUUGUCGGGUAAGUUCCGACCCGCACGAAAGGCGUAAUGAUUUGGGCACUGUCUCAACGAGAGACUCGGUGA